CCACGAUGGGGUUCGCAUACAAAAGCAUGUUAAGCAGCUGUAAAGAAGCAAUGAGAAGGCUUGCUCCAGCAGAUAAUGUGAGAAAUGUAAACUCUGAGGUGUUUCCCUCCCUGCCUGGAGGAAACCUGGCUGGAUUAUGUUCACGGAUCUGGUACAGUUGGUGGUGUCAUCCUCAUUGUCCCACUGAGACCUUUGUUCAUGCUGUAGCUUCACGGAAAGAUUUAUGUUAUAGUGUCUCCGCCCUCCCCUGCUUGAUGGAUUAGAUCUCAUUGUUGGAGCCUGGUGCUCUCAGUCUACAAAAUGGAUGCUCAUAUAAAUUUCACAUCACCAUUCAACUGGGCAGAGCGAGGAAAAGAAUAAACCAUUUCAGUGUUGGCUCCAGGGCAAGAAGCAUCAGGGAAAAUUUCUGAGACAUCUUGAAAAAGCCUGCCUGGGACCCGCCCUGCUCCUACAAGACAAGCCAGCCUGCUCGUAUGGGCUCUGCAACCCCUAGACACCAAAGAGCCGUCCAUGCUCACAUCUGGAUGGAGACGCCCCAUUUCUCACACUGUAAACCCCUGACAGGAUAUGAAUUGAUACUUACCUAGAGAACUGCAUGAA